rnacentral:rRNA from 1 species
UACGUAGGGGGCAAGCGUUGUCCGGAAUCAUUGGGCGUAAAGCGCGUGUAGGCGGCCCGGUAAGUCCGCUGUGAAAGUCCAGGGCUCAACCCUGGGAUGCCGGUGGAUACUGUCGGGCUCGAGUCCGGAAGAGGAGUGUGGAAUUCCUGGUGUAGCGGUGAAAUGCGCAGAUAUCAGGAGGAACACCGAUGGCGAAGGCAGGUCUCUGGGCAUUAACUGACGCUGAGGAGCGAAAGCAUGGGGAGCGAACAGG